rnacentral:rRNA from 1 species
AACGAACGCUGGCGGCAGGCUUAACACCUGCAAGUCGAACGCCCGUAGCAAUACGGGAGUGGCGGACGGGUGAGUAACGCGUGGGAACGUGCCCUGAGGUACGGAAUAACUGCGGGAAACUGCAGCUAAUACCGUAUGAGCCCCGCAAGGGGGAAAGAUUUAUCGCCUUAGGAGCGGCCCGCGUCGGAUUAGCUAGUUGGUGGGGUAACGGCUUACCAAGGCUUCGAUCCGUAGCUGGUCUGAGAGGACGAUCAGCCACACUGGGACUGAGACACGGCCCAGACUCCUACGGGAGGCAGCAGUGGGGAAUCUUGCGCAAUGGGGGCAACCCUGACGCAGCCAUGCCGCGUGAAUGAUGAAGGCCUUAGGGUUGUAAAGUUCUUUUGCCCGUGACGAUGAUGACGGUAACGGGAGAAUAAGCUCCGGCUAACUUCGUGCCAGCCGCCGCAGUAAGAC